rnacentral:lncRNA from 1 species
CCAUGAAAUGCAUUUUUAGCCAUGGCCUUGUCAGUUUGCUUUAAAUUUAUGAGUUUGACUGUCCCUUUUGUGUCUUUCGUCCCUCUUCUUUAGACAUAUAAGAACUUUUCCUUUUCAAUAUAAAUAGACUAUUUUUAAUUAUUGAUUGUAUACGCAUAUUCUAUGACUCCCAUAAAAAAUAGUUCACAAAGAUUGACUAGUCUCUGUACUGUGUGUAUAGCAAGAACAUCAAGUAACAUAAUGGUAAAUGUACAUAGUAAC